UACGUAGGGUGCAAGCGUUAAUCGGAAUUACUGGGCGUAAAGCGUGCGCAGGCGGUUGUGCAAGACCGAUGUGAAAUCCCCGGGCUUAACCUGGGAAUGGCAUUGGUGACUGCACGGCUAGAGUGUGUCAGAGGGGGUAGGAAUUCCACGUGUAGCAGUGAAAUGCGUAGAGAUGUGGAGGAAUACCGAUGGCGAAGGCAGCCCCCUGGGAUAACGACUGACG
rnacentral:rRNA from 1 species